rnacentral:tRNA from 1 species
GAGAUAGGUAGGUUCGUCAAUUGGCUUCUAACCAAAUAGGCAAAGGGCUCGCAUCCCUUUAUAUCUCU